AGCGAACGCUGGCGGCAGGCUUAACACAUGCAAGUCGAACGGGCACUUCGGUGUCAGUGGCAGACGGGUGAGUAACACGUGGGAACGUACCUUUUGGUUCGGAACAACUGAGGGAAACUUCAGCUAAUACCGGAUAAGCCCCUACGGGGAAAGAUUUAUCGCCGAAAGAUCGGCCCGCGUCUGAUUAGCUAGUUGGUAGGGUAAUGGCCUACCAAGGCGACGAUCAGUAGCUGGUCUGAGAGGAUGAUCAGCCACAUUGGGACUGAGACACGGCCCAAACUCCUACGGGAGGCAGCAGUGGGGAAUAUUGGACAAUGGGGGCAACCCUGAUCCAGCCAUGCCGCGUGAGUGAUGAAGGCCCUAGGGUUGUAAAGCUCUUUUAUGCGGGAAGAUAAUGACGGUACCGCAAGAAUAAGCCCCGGCUAACUUCGUGCCAGCAGCCGCCGUAA
rnacentral:rRNA from 1 species